GGUUGAACUGACAAGACUUGGGUACUGAGGAUGUAGAAUGGGGAGAUAUACCCUCCUGCCCCACUCUCCUAGUCUCCAGUUUUGCAUUGCAGUUUGGAUGGGCCAAUUUAAUUCUGUAACAAAGUAACAGUACAGUAUUAACCCAAAAUAAUCCUAUAAUACCAUAGCACAGUAAAGAUGAUGUAUCACCGCCAAGAUACAAGUGAUAGUGUAGGGCUGUAACGAUGUAAUCCAAAAACAGUAUAACCAUAUGGCAAUUUGCUACUGUCAGCCAGGAAAUGAUGGGUCAGUGCACUAUAGGUUAACAGUACUGGGUUGUAAUGAGGUAACCAUGUAAUCAGUGAUAUUGUAGUGUUGAAAUGACUGUAAGAAGGCACACAACCCAGCAACCUGAUAUGACAAUCUGACAGUGUAAUUGUGUUAACUUAGUAAUGGUUACUGAUAUAAUGAUGCAAUCACAUGAUGGCAGAGUGUGGUAAUGAUGUCACAUGAUCAUAAAACCUCAAAGGCAGUGGAAGGGAAGAGGAUGGAGCUCUUAACCUAAGCCCCAGGGCUCUGAGAAUAGAGUAAGAAAGCCCUUUCCAAGUUUAAAAGGAAGCUUCCUCAGGAUGCUGCAGAGGCUGGAAGAAGCUUCUGGAGGGAUGUUGCAGCCUGGGAUAGGAAAGAGCUCAGCCAAGAAAGAAAACUGGGGGCUGGGCACAAUGGCUGACGCCUGUAACCCCAGUACUUUGGAGGGCUGAGGCAGGUGGAUCACUUGAGAUCAGGAGUUCAAGAUCAGCCUGGCCAAACAUGGUGAAAUCCUGUCUCUACUAAAAAAUACAAAAAUUAGCCAGGUGUGGUGGUGCACGCCUGUAAUCCCAGCUACUCAGG
rnacentral:lncRNA from 1 species